rnacentral:sRNA from 1 species
UUGGUAGUCACUGGAUAAUAAAUGAUGUGUUUAUCCAUAUAACUAGAUACAGCACAAGCAGCAGCAGUGCAAGCUUUCUCCUGCUACCCCAUCUAUUUGCAUCAACUCUGACCUUCAAUGACUAGUUCUCAGGGCUACACGGUAGUUCAUUCUCCAGGCCGAUUCAACCCUUUGGCCUCA